UACGAAGGGGGCUAGCGUUGUUCGGAAUUACUGGGCGUAAAGCGCACGUAGGCGGGUUGUUAAGUCAGGGGUGAAAUCCCGGAGCUCAACUCCGGAACUGCCUUUGAUACUGGUAGUCUUGAGUUCGAGAGAGGUGAGUGGAAUUCCGAGUGUAGAGGUGAAAUUCGUAGAUAUUCGGAGGAACACCAGUGGCGAAGGCGGCUCACUGGCUCGAUACUGACGCUGAGGUGCGAAAGCGUGGGGAGCAAACAGG
rnacentral:rRNA from 1 species